UUGGAACAAAAACCAGCAGGUUAGGGGGUCCUCCAGGACCAGGGUUGGGAAUCACUGGUCUGUGGCACUCCAGGACCAGGGGUGUCUACCCCUGCCUUAUAUAUUCAGAAAAAUAUCUGCCUCCUCCCAGACCAGCUUUUGACAAAAUGACAGAAUGCAAACUUGUGUGCAUUAUAAAAUAAAAAAAAGAUUUUAUGGUAGAAAUUUGGUAUCUCCAAAGUCUGAAGGUUACAGGAAGGGAAUUGAAUGACAAUCUGAUUGAUAAAAAAUGAAAACAUUGUUCCUUAAUGUGAUCUAACAAAAGUGAAACAAAGUAGCAGAGUCAGAAAACUGUUCAUUCCAAUUGCAUUUUACAUGUGUCUUCAUACUUAGAUUUGAUUAUACUUGAUUUAUUAUAAUGAUCAUUUUUAUUAUGUAAUUUACACAAUCCAUGAUACAUAGCAAAUUCAAAACUAAUUAAAAAACUAAUAUACAAUAAGUUUUAAAAAAUCAGUGUACAAUAGUUACAAUUUUGAAAGCAAACAAAAAACAGACCAUGUGCUAUAGUACUUUCUAACACAGACUUAGACAGUGAUAAUUAUCAACGUUUAGUUUUUUGUUUUUUAAAGGCGGUACACAGAUGGAUUGUCUGACGUGAUGAAGGAUGCAGUCAGAAUCUGUCUGCAAAAAAUGAAGUGAUUAGGUCUAUGAUUGCCUUAAAACAAUGCAGUACAGCUGCCGAGUUUGAAAAGAUGUCAAAGGAAGUGAUUGUCAAAACAGACAGAGAAACUGGCAGUUCAGUAAUUUCACAGUAUCUACA